ensembl:lncRNA
UAUAUAUAUAUAUAUAUAUAUAUAUAUAUAUAUAUAUAUAUAUAUAUAUAUAUACAUAUAUAUAUAUAUAUAUAUAUACAUAUAUAUAUAAAAUGAGAUGAUAUUGUUUAUAAUUAUAAAACUGUCAGCCACAACUUUAAAUCCACUAAAAGGUGAAGUGAGACUUAACAUUCAUGUGGAUGUUAUUACAUGUAACACUCACUUAAAGCCCCUAUCAUGCAGGCCUAGAGGCCAGUUAGUGACCCGCCAACAACCAAAGGUCGCUAGGGAAAAAUGUGCAUUCCCAGUCUGGUUAGUGAGUGGUUGCUGGGUGAAGUUGGUUGCAAAGAGAUAUCACCUGCAGAUUUCCACGAUCACCCAAAGGGAGGUGAUGCUGACUUGUCUGCAAACACUUGCCAGCUGCUUGUUGAGCAGAAUGGAAAUGGAGUAAAAGUUGCACCUAUUGAAACAUAAUAGUUUUGUAGUAAAACACGGGUUUUGCUUUGGAGGUGAGUGCACUCCAUUUUUGGUUUGCGUUGCAAGUUUCACUACUGCUCCAUGGUUAGAUAGCGAAUGCUUGCAGACAAAUUAGUGUCUUGUGUAGAAGCAAUGGGCGAAAGCAGAAAUCUGAGCGUUGACAAGGAGGGUUUUGUGCAGCACCUUAAUUGUAGGUUAUUUCACCUAGCGACAGUCUGCACAAGCAGUCGAGGAUGACUAGGACUCAGCGGCCAGUCCCUCGGUCAUUACCAUUGCUGAAGCCCAAGCUCAACCACUUGUGGCCAAUCUUCUUCCCAAGGUGUCACAUCGGCCUCGAAACCCUUUAGGUUUCAGUUGAUCUUUGGAACGUGGCAGAGGCCUCACUACAUAGAGGGUAUCUGACAGGUCAAAGGGGAGGUACCUGUGCACCUGAUUGGUGUAAGUACAUACACUAUGCUAGGGGUAUAUUUAAAGAGAAAAUGAUGGGGUCAUUGUUUAUUAACUUUCCAGCAGGGCAUUUAAUAAAAUUAGUCAUCAACGUACCAUGAAGACUUGACAGGUCUCCACACUACACUGUGCUCAUCUGUAAUGCUGCUCUGUUUCAUGUGCUGCAGAUUAUUGUAAAAAUGGAGUGAGACUAUAAAAUGAUCCCUGUUUAGUAUCAGAAAGCAUUAUAUCCCAAUGCUAAUAUAUCUGGAGAUAGGCCAAUUAACUUAUGCUACUACUAAUAAUAAGAUGCACCUUGAUGGACCUCCAGUAUUUUCCAGAUUUUUAAUGGAGGACAACAAAGGCAUAGGGAGUUUUCUUUUCUGCAGUUGUAAAGAUGGCACAUGUUUACUUUUCCAAACUCUUGUUUAACCAGAAGUACACACAAAUUAUUGCUCAUGUAAAAUAUUUGUUGGAGAAAAAAAUGUGCCAAACAUUUGUCCCUAUCUUAUUGUAAUAUAUGUGUGUAAGUAUGUGUCUUAAAAUUUGCUGAGGACAUGUGUGUAUCCUGUCACAUGACUGAAAAUGAUCAAAACCUGACUGCAUUCAUACCCUGUUAAAAUGCACAGAGAAAUUGAUAUUUUAUACAGAAGUCAUGUAUUUGUGAUGGUUUAAUUCAUCCUUUUUGUUCUUCUAAUGGUGUCUGUCUGAUUGCAGAUUGAAUCAAAAGCCAGUGUGUUUAUAAUUUCUUUUAUCCAACCUGUAAAAAUGAUAUGAAAUGUGCUGCCGUUAUAUUUCACAUGACGAUGUGAAAAAGAAGUUUAACCUCCAGCUUUAAAGGCCUGCAACCUUUGAUCAUUCUGUCUUAUAUCACGAGUCUAUUGUGCCAGACAGCUUUCACUCUAGCGUGUACAGAAUCGGGUGUUGUGUAGUUUCACAGUUGGGUGACGAUCCUGAAGACACAGUCUUUGUGAUGAUGAUGGAAGCUAGUGAAUAUUAGUAAUUUUAGUAUCAGUGUGACUGUCAGAGAAAAAUAAGUAAACCUCAUGAUAGUCAGGAACUGCCGCUUCGUCCUGCUUCUGCACAUGGUGUAACGUGAAUGUAGAGAUGUGUAAUCUCUCUAAUUUCUCUCUAUUUUAUUUUAUUAUUUUUUUACAGAAUGAAUGAUUUCUUUUUUUCUUUUUAAAGGAAAACAGAUCCUUUUUUUUGUUUACCUCGUUUAUGUUUUGAAAUUUCUCAGGUUGGGAUUCAGAAGCCUUUGAUUUUUAACAACAAAAGUUUUAUGAAUUGAUAAUAGGAAAUAUGGAAAUUUCUACUUGGCCUUUCCUAUGCUGUGAUGAUUAGCAUUUCCACAAUAAAGAAACUGGCAAACCAAACUGGCCAAUACUGCCUCACUUACUGUCCAAUGUUUUAAUUAUAUAGCUGAAUUGUAACAACAGUUUCCCUUAAAAUCUUUUCUCAGGUUUCACUGUAUCCAGCACGUUAUCUAGCAAGCCUCAUACAUUUUGGUUUAGAGGGACUAUGCUUAAAUUUAGGGCUUAAUUUAUUUCAAGUUAACGACCAAAUAAUAUUACAGAAAAAUGCCCAACAAUCAAAUGACCCCUUCCAACCCCCUUAAAGAACCAUGUGGUGACAGUAGAAAGGAAAAACUUGCUUUUAA